rnacentral:tRNA from 1 species
GAGGGUAUAGCUCAGUGGUAGAGCCUUUGCAGAUCAAGAGGUCCCUGGUUCAACUCCAGGUGCCCCCU